GGGGUGGCAAGCGUUAUCCGGAUUUAUUGGGCGUAAAGCGAGCGCAGGCGGUCUUUUUAAGUCUGAUGUGAAAGCCUUCGGCUUAACCGGAGAAGUGCAUCGGAAACUGGGAGACUUGAGUGCAGAAGAGGACAGUGGAACUCCAUGUGUAGCGGUGAAAUGCGUAGAUAUAUGGAAGAACACCAGUGGCGAAGGCGGCUGUCUAGUCUGUAACUGACGCUGAGGCUCGAAAGCAUGGGUAGCGAACAGGAUUAGAUACCCUGGUAGUCCAUGCCGUAAACGAUGAGUGCUAAGUGUUGGAGGGUUUCCGCCCUUCAGUGCUGCAGCUAACGCAUUAAGCACUCCGCCUGGGGAGUACGACCGCAAGGUUGAAACUCAAAGGAAUUGACGGGGGCCCGCACAAGCGGUGGAGCAUGUGGUUUAAUUCGAAGCUACGCGAAGAACCUUACCAGGUCUUGACAUCUUCUGCCAAUCUUAGAGAUUAGACGUUCCCUUCGGGGACAGAAUGACAGGUGGUGCAUGGUUGUCGUCAGCUCGUGUCGUGAGAUGUUGGGUUAAGUCCCGCAACGAGCGCAACCCUUAUUAUCAGUUGCCAGCAUUCAGUUGGGCACUCUGGUGAGACUGCCGGUGACAAACCGGAGGAAGGUGGGGAUGACGUCAAAUCAUCAUGCCCCUUAUGACCUGGGCUACACACGUGCUACAAUGGACGGUACAACGAGUCGCGAAGUCGUGAGGUUAAGCUAAUCUCUUAAAACCGUUCUCAGUUCGGAUUGUAGGCUGCAACUCGCCUACAUGAAGUUGGAAUCGCUAGUAAUCGCGGAUCAGCAUGCCGCGGUGAAUACGUUCCCGGGCCUUGUACACACCGCCCGUCACACCAUGAGAGUUUGUAACACCCAAAGCCGGUGAGAUAACCUUCGGGAGUCUAGCCGUCUAAGUGACAAAU
rnacentral:rRNA from 2 species